rnacentral:rRNA from 1 species
GAUGAACGCUAGCGGCAGGCUUAACACAUGCAAGUCGAGGGGUAGAGGUUGCUUGCAACCUUGAGACCGGCGCACGGGUGCGUAACGCGUAUGCAACCUACCUUUUACAGAGGGAUAGCCCAGAGAAAUUUGGAUUAAUACCUCAUAGUAUAUAACCUUCGCAUGUUGGUUAUAUUAAAGUUCCAACGGUAAAAGAUGGGCAUGCGUCCUAUUAGCUAGAUGGUAAGGUAACGGCUUACCAUGGCAACGAUAGGUAGGGGUCCUGAGAGGGAGAUCCCCCACACUAGUACUGAGACACGGACCAGACGCCUACGGGAGGCAGCAGUGAGGAAUAUUGGACAAUGGGCGCAAGCCUGAUCCAGCCAUGCCGCGUGCAGGAAGAAGCAUCUAUGGUGUGUAAACUGCUUUUGUACAGGAAGAAACACCCCGACGUGUCGGGGCUUGACGGUACUGUAAGAAUAAGGGUCGGCUAACUCCGUGCCAGCCGCCGCCGUAA